GAUGAACGCUGGCGGCGUGCCUAAUACAUGCAAGUCGAGCGAACAGACGAGGAGCUUGCUCCUCUGACGUUAGCGGCGGACGGGUGAGUAACACGUGGAUAACCUACCUAUAAGACUGGGAUAACUUCGGGAAACCGGAGCUAAUACCGGAUAAUAUAUUGAACCGCAUGGUUCAAUAGUGAAAGACGGUUUUGCUGUCACUUAUAGAUGGAUCCGCGCCGCAUUAGCUAGUUGGUAAGGUAACGGCUUACCAAGGCGACGAUGCGUAGCCGACCUGAGAGGGGGAUCGGCCACACUGGAACUGAGACACGGUCCAGACUCCUACGGGAGGCAGCAGAAGGGAAUCUUCCGCAAUGGGCGAAAGCCGGACGGAGCAACGCCGCGUGAGUGAUGAAGGUCUUCGGAUCGUAAAACUCUGUUAUUAGGGAAGAACAAAUGUGUAAGUAACUAUGCACGUCUUGACGGUACCUAAUCAGAAAGCCACGGCUAACUACGUG
rnacentral:rRNA from 1 species